GAUGAACGCUGGCGGCGUGCCUAAUACAUGCAAGUCGAGCGAACAGACGAGGAGCUUGCUCCUCUGACGUUAGCGGCGGACGGGUGAGUAACACGUGGAUAACCUACCUAUAAGACUGGGAUAACUUCGGGAAACCGGAGCUAAUACCGGAUAAUAUAUUGAACCGCAUGGUUCAAUAGUGAAAGACGGUUUUGCUGUCACUUAUAGAUGGAUCCGCGCCGCAUUAGCUAGUUGGUAAGGUAACGGCUUACCAAGGCAACGAUGCGUAGCCGACCUGAGAGGGUGAUCGGCCACACUGGAACUGAGACACGGUCCAGACUCCUACGGGAGGCAGCAGUAGGGAAUCUUCCGCAAUGGGCGAAAGCUUGACGGAGCAACGCCGCGUGAGUGAUGAAGGUCUUCGGAUCGUAAAACUCUGUUAUUAGGGAAGAACAAAUGUGUAAGUAACUAUGCACGUCUUGACGGUACCUAACCAGAAAGCCACGGCUAACUACGUG
rnacentral:rRNA from 1 species